UACGGGGGGGGCAAGCGUUGUUCGGAAUUACUGGGCGUAAAGGGCUCGUAGGCGGCCAACUAAGUCAGACGUGAAAUCCCCAGGCUUAACCUGGGAACUGCGUCGGAUACUGGAUGGCUUGAAUUCGGGAGAGGGAUGCAGAAUUCCAGGUGUAGCGGUGAAAUGCGUAGAUAUCUGGAGGAACACCAAUGGCGAAGGCAGCUCGCUGGGACGGUACUGACGCUGAGGCGCGAAAGCGUGGGGAGCAAACAGG
rnacentral:rRNA from 1 species